rnacentral:tRNA from 1 species
GGAGAGGUGGCUGAGUGGUCGAAAGCAACAGAUUGCUAAUCUGUCGUAUGGG